UGGAGGGUUUUCAUGACAAGGAAUUGCACAUUGGAUGAUCAUUUCUACCUUUUGCAAUAACUACUUCUUAUUUGCAAGUUGUGUUUAAGUGAACAAAGACAAUGAUACCCUGUUGAGCUGGUAGGUAGGAAGAACCAGCGAAGCGCACAGUUACCGGAGAGGUUAUUUGCCCAAUGUUGAGAAACAUAUGUGUGUAUUAGAAAAAAUCACAUCGACUCCCAGGAAUCCUGCAACAUACUGCAACUGUGAUGCUGACCAGAAUGAGUGGAGAUUUCCUCAUGAUUUCUCUGUGUGAGAUGCAGGUUAAAAAAAAGUUAUUACUUAAUAUAUGAAUAGGCAGAUAUUGAAUAAGCUAUUGCAAUGAAAAAAAUAAAAGUAUGCCCUAGUGAGUAAAAAA